AGGUUUGAAUAAAGCAGAGAUGGGGAGACAGAGGGGAAAAUGACAGAAAGGCCCACUGGAGUCUGUAUUUGUUUAUAACAUCCAUUUCCCCCUGUGGCUCUCCAUCCCUGCUUUAUUCAAACAU